UACGGAGGGUGCGAGCGUUGUUCGGCCUCAUUGGGCGUAAAGAGCGUGUAGGCGGCUUGGCAAGUCGGUUGUGAAAUCCCGGGGCCCAACCCCGGAACUGCAAUCGAAACUGCCUCGCUAGAGUCCCGGAGAGGAAGGCGGAAUUCCCGGUGUAGAGGUGAAAUUCGUAGAUAUCGGGAGGAACACCAGUGGCGAAGGCGGCCUUCUGGACGGUGACUGACGCUCAGACGCGAAAGCGUGGGGAGCAAACAGG
rnacentral:rRNA from 1 species